CCUACGGGAGGCAGCAGUGGGGAAUAUUGGACAAUGGGCGGAACCCUGAUCCAGCGACGCCGCGUGAGUGAAGAAGGAUCUCGGUAUGUAAACCUCUUUUAGCAGGGACGAAAGAAAUGACGGUACCUGACGAAUAAGCCUCGGCUAACUACGUGCCAGCAGCCGCGGUAAUACGUAGGGGGCAAGCGUUCUCCGGAUUUACUGGGUGUAAAGGGAGCGUAGGCGGUAACGCAAGUCUGGAGGGAAAGGCAGGGGCCCAACCCCCGGACUGCUUUGGAAACUGUAUAACUGGAGUGCAGGAGAGGUAAGUGGAAUGCCUAGUGUAGCGGUGAAAUGCGUAGAUAUUAGGAGGAACACCAGUGGCGAAGGCGGCGUACUGGACUGUAACUGACGCUGAGGCUCGAAAGCGUGGGGAGCAAACAGGAUUAGAUACCCCAGUAGUC
rnacentral:rRNA from 1 species